rnacentral:rRNA from 1 species
UACCUAUAAGACUGGGAUAACUUCGGGAAACCGGAGCUAAUACCGGAUAAUAUUUUGAACCGCAUGGUUCAAAAGUGAAAGACGGUCUUGCUGUCACUUAUAGAUGGAUCCGCGCUGCAUUAGCUAGUUGGUAAGGUAACGGCUUACCAAGGCAACGAUGCAUAGCCGACCUGAGAGGGUGAUCGGCCACACUGGAACUGAGACACGGUCCAGACUCCUACGGGAGGCAGCAGUAGGGAAUCUUCCGCAAUGGGCGAAAGCCUGACGGAGCAACGCCGCGUGAGUGAUGAAGGUCUUCGGAUCGUAAAACUCUGUUAUUAGGGAAGAACAUAUGUGUAAGUAACUGUGCACAUCUUGACGGUACCUAAUCAGAAAGCCACGGCUAACUACGUGCCAGCAGCCGCGGUAAUACGUAGGUGGCAAGCGUUAUCCGGAAUUAUUGGGCGUAAAGCGCGCGUAGGCGGUUUUUUAAGUCUGAUGUGAAAGCCCACGGCUCAACCGUGGAGGGUCAUUGGAAACUGGAAAACUUGAGUGCAGAAGAGGAAAGUGGAAUUCCAUGUGUAGCGGUGAAAUGCGCAGAGAUAUGGAGGAACACCAGUGGCGAAGGCGACUUUCUGGUCUGUAACUGACGCUGAUGUGCGAAAGCGUGGGGAUCAAACAGGAUUAGAUACCCUGGUAGUCCACGCCGUAAACGAUGAGUGCUAAGUGUUAGGGGGUUUCCGCCCCUUAGUGCUGCAGCUAACGCAUUAAGCACUCCGCCUGGGGAGUACGACCGCAAGGUUGAAACUCAAAGGAAUUGACGGGGACCCGCACAAGCGGUGGAGCAUGUGGUUUAAUUCGAAGCAACGCGAAGAACCUUACCAAAUCUUGACAUCCUUUGACAACUCUAGAGAUAGAGCCUUCCCCUUCGGGGGACAAAGUGACAGGUGGUGCAUGGUUGUCGUCAGCUCGUGUCGUGAGAUGUUGGGUUAAGUCCCGCAACGAGCGCAACCCUUAAGCUUAGUUGCCAUCAUUAAGU